rnacentral:rRNA from 1 species
CCUACGGGAGGCAGCAGUGGGGAAUAUUGGGCAAUGGAGGCAACUCUGACCCAGCAAUGCCGCGUGAGUGAUGAAGGUAAUUUUAUUGUAAAGCUCUUUUCUUUGGAACGAAUAAAUGACGGUACCAAAGGAAUAAGCCCCGGCUAACUACGUGCCAGCAGCCGCGGUAAUACGUAGGGGGCAAGCGUUGUUCGGAAUGACUGGGCGUAAAGGGUGUGUAGGUGGUUUGAUAAGUUAGAUGUGUAAUACCCAGGGCUUAACUCGGGUGCUGCAUCUAAAACUGUUAGACUUGAGUACUGGAGAGGAUAGUGGAAUUCCUAGUGUAGCGGUGGAAUGCGUAGAUAUUAGGAGGAACAUCAGUGGCGAAGGCGGGUUCCUGGACAUUAACUGACGCUGAGGCACGAAGGCCAGGGGAGCGAAAGGGAUUAGAUACCCCUGUAGUC